rnacentral:rRNA from 1 species
UACGUAGGGGGCGAGCGUUGUCCGGAAUCAUUGGGCGUAAAGAGCGUGUAGGCGGCCCGGUAAGUCCGCUGUAAAAGUCAAAGGCUCAACCUUUGAAUGUCAGUGGAUACUGCCGGGCUAGAGUCCGGAAGAGGCGAGUGGAACUCCUGGUGUAGCGGUGGAAUGCGCAGAUAUCAGGAAGAACACCAACGGCGAAGGCAGCUCGCUGGGACGGUACUGACGCUGAGACGCGAAAGCGUGGGGAGCGAACAGG